AGACAGAGACAGAGAGAGAGAGAGUCCUUCAUGUUAAGUGAAAUGUAACAUGUAGUUUGUUGGUCUGCUCAGAAAGACAGAUCUCUACACCUGUUGCUGAUGAGGAGUUGGACCGUAUUGUAAGCGAAGUCCACAGAAGUGUCCAAACACCGGCUACAAGCUAAUGCGUGGACAUUUGAAUGCUAGAGGUGUGCGUGUUCCAAUCUCAAGACUGAGAGUCUUUGCACAGAGUGGAUGCUGAGGGAGUGUACAUGAGACGUCUACGGCUGCAUGUAACAAGACGACGGCAGUAUUCUGUUCCUGGCCCAAACUCUUUAUGGCACAUAGAUGGUCACCACAAGCUUAUAAGGUGGAGAUUUGUUGUCCAUGGUGGGGUGGACGGAUUCAGUCGACUGGUGGUCUACCUGAAUGUGGCUGGCAAUAACAGGGCUAGCACUGUCCUACAGAGCUUUAUCAAUGCCGUUCAGCAGUACGGGCUGCCGUCAAGGGUACGGUCUGAUAAAGGAAGAGAGAAUUCAGACGUAGCAGAAUUCAUGAUCAGGAGCAGAGGUACUAACAGGAACUCUCACAUCACAGGCAGAAGUGU